rnacentral:rRNA from 1 species
UGGGGAAUAUUGCACAAUGGGCGCAAGCCUGAUGCAGCCAUGCCGCGUGUGUGAAGAAGGCCUUCGGGUUGUAAAGCACUUUCAGCGAGGAGGAAGGUGGUGGACUUAAUACGUUCAUCAAUUGACGUUACUCGCAGAAGAAGCACCGGCUAACUCCGUGCCAGCAGCCGCGGUAAUACGGAGGGUGCAAGCGUUAAUCGGAAUUACUGGGCGUAAAGCGCACGCAGGCGGUUUGUUAAGUCAGAUGUGAAAUCCCCGGGCUCAACCUGGGAACUGCAUUUGAAACUGGCAAGCUAGAGUCUCGUAGAGGGGGGCUAGAAUUCCAGGUGUAGCGGUGAAAUGCGUAGAGAUCUGGAGGAAUACCGGUGGCGAAGGCGGCCCCCUGGACGAAGACUGACGCUCAGGUGCGAAAGCGUGGGGCAGCAAACAGGAUUAGAUACCCUGGUAGUCCAGCGCUGUAAACGAUGUCGAUUUGGAGGUUGUGCCCUUGAGGCGUGGCUUCCGGAGCUAACGCGUUAAAUCGACCGCCUGGGGAGUACGGCCGCAAGGUU